rnacentral:rRNA from 1 species
GUUCCCCUUGAACGAGGAAUUCCUAGUAAACGCAAGUCAUCAGCUUGCAUUGACUAGGUCCCUGCCCUUUGUACACACCGCCUGUCGCUUCCUACCGAUUUCGAGUGAUGAGGUGAACCCUCCGGACUGUGCGCGCAAGCGUUGGGAAGUUGAGUAAACCUUAUCACUUAGAGGAAGGAGAAGUCGUAACAAGGUAUCUGUAGGUGAACCUGCAGAUGGAUC